rnacentral:tRNA from 1 species
GGAGGUGUAGCUCAGUGGCAGAGUGCGUGCCCAGCAUGCAUGACGCCCUGGGUUCCAUCCCCAGCACCAAAA